AUUCCAGCUCCAAUAGCGUAUAUUAAAGUUGUUGCAGUUAAAAAGCUCGUAGUUGGAUUUCGGAAUGGGUCAAUUGGUCCGCCGCAAGGUGAGUUACUGGUUGGUCUGUUCUUCUUCGCAAAGACUGCGUAUGCACUUUAUUGGGUGUGCGUAGGAUUUACGACGUUUACUUUGAAAAAAUUAGAGUGUUCAAAGCAGGCUAUCGCUUGAAUACAUGAGCAUGGAAUAAUGGAAUAGGACUUUUUCCUCUUCUGUUGGUCUGAGGGGUUCGAGUAAUGAUUAAUAGGGAUAGUUGGGGGCAUUAGUACUUUGCUGUCAGAGGUGAAAUUCUCGGAUCUGCAAAAGACUAACUUAUGCGAAAGCAUUUGCCAAGGAUGUUUUCAUUA
rnacentral:rRNA from 1 species